GGAGAGGUGUCCGAGAGGCCGAAGGAGCACGAUUGGAAAUCGUGUAGGCGGUAAUCACCGUCUCGAGGGUUCGAAUCCCUCCCUCUCCG
rnacentral:tRNA from 1 species